GACGAACGCUGGCGGCGGGCCUAAUACAUGCAAGUAGGACGCAGUUGCGAACGAGUGAGUAACGCGUAGGUAACUGCCUAUUAGAGGGGGAUAACUAUUGGAAACGAUAGCUAAUACCGCAUACUAGUAGAUGGACCUGCGUUGUAUUAGCUAGUAGGUAGGGUAAUGGCCUACCUAGGCGACGAUACAUAGCCGAGCUGAGAGGGUGAUCAGCCCCCAUGGGACUGGGAAACGGGUCAGGAUGCCACGGGAGGGCGCCGUUGGGAAUCUUCGGCAAUUGGGGGAAACCUGACCGAGGAAAGCCGCGUGAGUGAAGAAGGGUUUCGGAUCUUAAAGCUCUGUUGUUAAGGAAGCGGUACUUACCCAGAAAGGGACGGCUAACUCCGUGCCAGCAGCCGCGGUAAUUC
rnacentral:rRNA from 1 species